ACAGGGAAGAGAGGACACUAAGCGCACACACACACACAAUGCAUCCCUAUACAUACACAGACACACACAAUGCAUCCCUACACACACACACAGAAACACAACAUGCUUCCCUUACACACAGAGAAACACACAAUGCAUCCAUUACACACACACAAUGCAACACUUACACACAAAGACAAUGCAUCCUUUGCACACAUACACAGAAACACAUAAUGCAAACCCUUACACACACACUGCUUUUCUUACAUACACACAGAAACACAAUGCAUCACUAACACACACUCAAUGCACACACUUACAGACACACACCUUGCAUCCCUUAUGCAUACAAA